rnacentral:misc_RNA from 1 species
AACGCAACUUGCGCCCCGCGGGGCAUGUCUGCCUGAGCCGGCGACACACUGGCCUCGGCCGCGCUGGGGCGUGCCCCGAAACGCGUGUCUGCACGGGCUGGAGCGGCGCCGCAGGGCGGAGCAGCCGACGCACACACGGCCGCUCAGGCAGACAGGACCACCCGCUGGACUUAA